rnacentral:rRNA from 1 species
AUAUCAAUAAGCGGAGGAAAAGAAACUAACAAGGAUUCCCCUAGUAACGGCGAGCGAAGCGGGAAGAGCUCAAAUUUGAAAGCUGGCACUUGUGUCCGCGUUGUAAUCUCGAGACGUGUUUUCCGUGCGGCGCUAUGGACAAGUUCCUUGGAAUAGGACAUCGUAGAGGGUGAAAAUCCCGUACUUGCCAUGGAUGUACCGUGCUUUGUGAUACACGCUCUAAGAGUCGAGUAGUUUGGGAUUGCUGCUCAAAAGGGGUGGUAAACUCCAUCUAAAGCUAAAUAUCGGGGAGAGACCGAUAGCGAACAAGUACCGUGAGG